ensembl:lncRNA
UAUGGCUAAUUGUGUGCACCCACUGGUUGAGGAAAAUUAUACUUUUUAGAACCUGUGCUUUGCUGCAACCUCAUGGUGUAUCUCGUCAUUACAACCACCGAGGGAUUUAUAUAUCCUUCUCGGGAGCCGUAGAUUUACGGUAAAGCAAGACGUGUAUCUUCUUUUUUUUUUAGUAGAACAGGAAGAACCAUUUAUCUGUGAAUACGAACCAGCAACAUGUACAGCCGAUGCUAUAAGCUUAUGACCUAUUAGAAUAAACUAUUCCUUUAAAAUCGGUUACUAAUGUAUUCAAGGAAGAAUGUCGUCCGAUUUAAUGUUAGACUUCGAGACUCAAGAACAACAAAUGAUGAACGGUGAAACUGGCACCAUGUCCAUCGACCAGGAUGGCGAGUGGGGGUCAUUGUGCAAAAUGGUACGCAGCAUCAUCUGGAUUUGUGUGCAUCAAAAAGUUCAACAUUCACCUUCUGCUACCAUUUCUGCCAAGCCGUCUUCGCGUACAGUUUGACGCGUCCGUUCGAUAAAUCCAACGUAUGCAGAACGCACUGCAACUUCCUCUGUAAUGUAACGCUGCAAGGCAAACGCAGCGUUUCAUUGGAAAUGAAUGGACUUCUGGUGUACCAAAACGCAAUGACGCUGUUGGUGUGAUGGAGGUAUAACAUGUAGGCUCUAGUGUUGUCACGAUACUGGAAUUUUGACUUCAAUACCUUUUAGUAUCACAAUCCUUGAAACCAUUACUAUAAUCUACCAAAACAACACCCAAAUGAUACCAGGGCAAGCAAAAUAAGGCGUAUUAGCCAAAGUCACAGAAUGGCACUUAAUCCAGACAAAUCUUUUGAUUUCAAUAUCAUUCAUUACUUUAGUAAUUUUAGAUUGUUUUAAUGUAUGCAUUAAUGAAUCAAUUAUACAGUCAAACAUUCAAUUUGACUUUGGUAAAAAAAAAUAUUUAAAAAAAUCUAACUACAUAAUAGUAAUAAUUUAUUUGAAUAGUAAAUCUGUAGUCUGUUGAUAAACUGGGUAAAUCAAGAUGUAGCCUAGGCCUAUUCACAAUACAGGUGAAUGCAUAUUCAAUAGGACUGUGUGCAUGCAUUGAGUUAUUGAGCUUGUUCUGGCUGAUUUUUUUCAUGGAUGAAAAGAAAUCUGUUUCUUUUCCAUUUGGGUCUUUUAUUUUAUAAUGCUGAUCAACAACAUUUGCAUAGAAGAAGUAAUCUCUUUUAUAGAAGUGUGCACCGUCUCUUUAAAGGGGCAAUCAGCAGUUGUUACAUCCAUUUUUGGACGUAUAAAUGUAUUGAUAUGUAUCCAUUGAUUCCUAAAGAAUAUAACUUAUAAAUGCCUCAUGAGCUUAGUUAAACUGUCACACCCCAUCAGAACCCCAAAAUUACAAGCUUGUUUUACUCCAACAGUGUAAACAUGAGAAAAAAUGUAAACAAACACUAUAUAGCCUCAAAACAUGGUUAAAACUAUCAUUUUCAUAUCAUGGCUGGUCAGUCCUUGCAUCCAUAGCUCUCUGUCUAUGAAUUUGUGUUUACAUUUCUCCAGCCACAUCCCCUCAGCUUUUCACUGUACCAGGGGUGAGGACACAGCUUUGUUAUUGUUUCUGUUGCUGCUUUGAGACCCACGACAUUUACACACAGUCUGUUCGAGGCUCGAGCAAAGAUGAUCUUGCCUGGGGGAGACAAAAUGAAAGUAUAACGUUUUUGGUGACAAUCCGCUUUGUAAUCCAGCAAUAUUUUGUGUUAUUGUGUGUAUCACAAACAAGGUAAUAGGGUAGUGA